rfam:Stegodyphus mimosarum contig23382, whole genome shotgun sequence.
GCCUUCGUAGUGUAACGGUAGCAUACUCGACGUGUAUUCGAGAGGUCCAGGUUCGAUUCCCGGCGAGGGUA